rnacentral:lncRNA from 1 species
CAAGACUCCUGACAAUUGCACUGUCAUUUUCCCCAAGUACUACUGAAGUGGAUUGCUGUGGACGUUCGGGUGAAGUUGUGCAGGGCAGCAUUAGAGAGCGAGUGACUGGUACUGCUGAUGAUUUCUGCUGUCAGGAUGCUCUUCCACGUAUCCAUGCACAACCUCUUAAUGAACGUGAAGAAAGAGAUACUGGUCUAAUCAUCUCUCCAUUGUCAGACCACCGGCGUCCGGGAUAAAGAGAAGUCCGCAUUCCUCGAUAUGUGCCCG